rnacentral:rRNA from 1 species
UGCAGUGGGCUACCUUGAACAAGCCCGAUCCCAUCUGAUCUCAGAAGCUAAGCAGGGUCGGGCCUGGUUAGUACUUGGAUGGGAGACCACCUAGGAAGACCAGGCACUGUAG